rnacentral:rRNA from 1 species
GACGAACGCUGGCGGCGUGCUUAACACAUGCAAGUCGAGCGGUAAGGCCCCUUCGGGGGUACGACGAGCGGCGAACGGGUGAGUAACACGUGGGUGACCUGCCCUCAGCUCUGGGAUAAGCCUGGGAAACUAGGGUCUAAUACCGGAUAUGACUCCAUGACGCAUGUCGUGGGGUGGAAAGCCUUGUGCGGCUGGGGAUGGGCCCGCGGCCUAUCAGCUUGUUGGUGGGGUGAUGGCCUACCAAGGCGACGACGGGUAGCCGGCCUGAGAGGCGACCGGCCACACUGGGACUGAGACACGGCCCAGACUCCUACGGGAGGCAGCAGUGGGGAAUCUUGCGCAAUGGGCGAAAGCCUGACGCAGCGACGCCGCGUGAGGGAUGACGGCCU